rnacentral:rRNA from 1 species
UACGUAAGGUGCAAGCGUUAAUCGGAAUUACUGGGCGUAAAGCGUGCGCAGGCGGUUUUUUAAGCUUGAUGUGAAAUCCCCGGGCUUAACCUGGGAACUGCAUUGAGGACUGGAAGGCUAGAGUACGGCAGAGGGGGGUGGAAUUCCACGUGUAGCAGUGAAAUGCGUAGAGAUGUGGAGGAACACCGAUGGCGAAGGCAGCCCCCUGGGCCUGUACUGACGCUCAUGCACGAAAGCGUGGGGAGCAAACAGG